AAAUGUUUAUUUGAAAUCAAAUGAUUUUGUACAUAAAGUUCAAUAAUAUAAAAGCUGUAUUCUGUAUUGUUUUUGUUUUUUAUUGUUAUGCAUUGUUAAUACAUGCAAAAUUUUGGCUUGGCUAGAAGAGUAAGGAUCCAGGGGGAAAAAAAAACACUAUCAGCAAAAGCUAGUAAGAAAGUGAGAAAAAUUCAUGUGAAAUCCUGCUUUCAGUUCUGGUAACAUCAGUUGCAGCUAGUUGCUGUUGCAAUGGUCCAGGUAAAAUACCAAACUACCAGAACACUGCCUGCAGGGAGGUAAGUGCCCAACUACUAACUGUUGAGUGGUGUUUCAGUGUGAAGGAAUGAAAAUGAAUAAACAGUAACAAAGCCAAAACGGCAGAGUUUCAAAAAAGAAGCAGUCCUGUAACAAAACAAGAUAGCAUAGCAACUUCAGGUUUAAUGAGUUCGGUAAAAGGAAAAUGAGUUAGAGAAGUUUAUCAUGAAUAUUUUAAAAAUGAGGCCACAGCAAGAGGGUGACAGGGCAAAGGAAGAGACCAGGGAGAGUGGUGGACAGGAGGGUUGGAAUUUAUAGACUGAGGAAGACAGAGAAGACCAGAGAUCAAGUUACCAGAAAAAGAAAGGGAUGAAAUCAAGAACACAAAUUGAUUCAGCUUGCUAAAGAUGAGAUUUUACUAAUAAAACUGUUGGUCAAAAAUAGGUACUCAAUGACAUUUCUGGUGGGAAAAUAAAUUAGCACAACUUCUAGAAAGAACAGUUUGGGAAUUUCCAUUAAAAUCACAAUGCACUUAGAGUUCCUGUCGUGGCGCAGCGGAAACAAAUCCAACUAGGAACCAUGAGGUUGUGAGCUUGAUCGCUGGCCUCACUCAGUGGGUUAAGGAUCUGGCGGCAUUGCCGAGAGCUGUGACGUAGAUCAAAGACGUGGCUCAGGUCUGGUGUUGCUGUGGCUCUGGUGUAGGCUGGCAGCAACAGCUCCAACUAGAGCCCUCACCUGGGAACCUCCACAUGCUGCAAGUGUGGCCCCAAAAAGACAGAAAAAAAAUCAUAAUGCAUUUAACCUUUAAGCCCAUCUUUAGGAAUUUAUCCUACAAAUAAACUGAAACACAUAUAAGUUGGCAAAUUGUUACCACUGUUGAAAACUGCAGCUUAGAUACAAGUCAUCAGUAGGAGAUUGGUUAAAUAAAUGAUAAGCCAUGUAAAGUGUAAUACUAGACAACAAUUGAUGCGGAACAGAUUCCAAGACCUAAGAUAAAGAAUACAGAACAGUUUCUAAUAUGCUUCCAUUUUUUGAAAAAUUACCAUGUGCCCAUAUUUGCUUGAGUUACAGAAUAUAAUAAGGACACACAGAAGCAACUGCUUUCAGGGAAGAUGGCUGGAGCAAAGGACAGAUAGGAAGGAGCCUCUCACUGCCAUUUUUGAAAUUCAAUUUUUAAAACUGCCUAUUUUGUGGUGGUUAACAUUUAAAAAUUAAAUCUAAAAAAUAGGAAAGGGAGUUCAAGAAGAGGGGUGAUUUUUCACUGGGAACUAGGUAUAAUGGAUAGUGGUUAGCACACAGUAAACUUGCAGUGGGUUAAUAAGUAAAACAGCAAUUUCACUGUCAAAAACAGUUUCUCAACAUUCAAUGUAUACAUGCUCUGUUUGUUAAAAGUAAUCUAAAUAGUAUGCUGCUUCUAGAAAAGUAGAAAUACACGAGGUUUUGUUAACCAUACCAAGUACCAUGUUAAAACAUCAUUCAUGAUUCCCAGUUGUUGGCAGAGAAAGAAUCCUAUCUUCCUAAUCUGAAUUCAUCCAUCCAUUCAGUCUUCUCUCCAUUUAUGCAGUCUCCCUUGAGUGGAGUGGAAGUACCAGAGCACAGCGUGGUACAUACCAUGCACGCUGGUGUUCUCCACACACAGUCUGUGACCCAAUUUCUGGAACAUCUAUGCCUAUGUACUAUUUUCUACACGUGGAAGGUUGAUUUUUAUACAGAGGUAAAAUUCCUCUCAAGAACAUUCUAAGACAAACGAGGUGGUUACUCAAAUGUCACAUGGAUGAAUCACAUUAAAAGCUAUUUCCAGAGAACAGAGUGGAUUUGUCCUGGACUACUGAUUUCCCAUUUCCGACUACCAUGCCAUCCACAUGACAAAGCUCCAACCAGGGGCCACCUGCAGAUGCACCAUCUCCCGGAACCAUGUUUCUGUCCACACUAUUCCUUCCUUUUUCACAACCCAAAUACCUUCCACCUGUUCGUCUAGCAGGCUACUGCUAUUCAGCUGUUCUUUCAUUCAUCCAUGAAUAUGGGCCAACACUUAAUCUCCAGUACUACGAAUGAGAAGUUAAGAUGCAGGUCCUAUUUCAAGGGAUCUCCCAGCCCUCACGGGUCAAAAUUACAGUCACUUCUUCCUUCUGUCUCUAAACAAUCCUGUAUCUCUUUGCUAGAUUUAUUAUUUCAGGAAAAGGAUGAAUUUAUACACUUAUCAGAAUAAAAGCUUUUUAUACUUUGUGGCAAGCAUAUAAAUCACCACCUGGUACAAGUACCUAGAAUAUAACAGGGGUCCCACAAAUCUUAGCUUCUUUCUUCUUCACUAAUUCCACUAAGAUUUUUCUUGAGUGGGUUCUCUUCUAAUAUGGGGAGCUAGUUCUGUGAAGCCCUGAAGGAAAAGGACCAUGGUUGCCAGUGGAUAACGAGGCUGAAAGAGCCUUCUUUGCUCAUGAAUACUUCUUGUGGCCUUGGCCUUAGCUAGGCAUGAGAAUGCAAAGAUGAAUAAGCCAGACAUUGUUCCUGUCCUCGUGAAUCUCAAAUUCCAGAGAGGGAGACACUCACCUAUGUUUUUACUAAACCACGUUCCAAAGUGUCUCAUCUCCAACUGGUGUCCUGGGGAUGCUGGGUGGCAUGGACUGGGGUAGCACGAUGGGAGAUCAGGUAGUUGAGAGGUGUGUAUUUGAUUGCCAACUCUGGUGUCUUUUGCAGCUUCUAAACUCAAAGUUACUGAAUCACAGUGAGUUUGUUUCUUCAACUAUGAAAUGGAAUUAAAACGCCUCCUUCAACAAGGGAUCUAGCACCGUAACCUGCUCUUGCUUAGCAUCGCUAUUCCCUUCCCAACAACCACAUGGUUUUUGCCACCUCAAACCUCUGCUCCCACCUCUGAAGGAAAUAUCAUAUGCUUGGUCCUCUUCCACGAGCUAUGUUAACAACAUGGAGGAGCCUCCCGAGAUGAUAUUAACAAAGUCUAAUUCUCCUAGAAAACUGCAAGUUUUCUUUUUUUUGCAAGUUUUUUUUUUUUUUUUUUUUUUUUUUUUUUUUUUUUUUCCUUUUCAAGGCUGCACCUAAACAUACGUAAGUAAGUACCUUGGGCUAGGGGUCAAACUGGAGCUGCAGCUGCUGGUCUACACCACAUCCACAGCAACACCAGAUCAGAGCCACAUCUGUGACUACACCACAGUCUGUGGCAACGUCAGGUCCUUAACCCACUGAGUGAGGCCAGGGAUCAAACCCACAUCCUCAUGGAUCCUAGGCUGGGUUCCUAACCCGCUGAGCCACAACAGGAUCUCUCAAAUCUGCAGGUAACAUCACCUUACACAAAACUAAUGAAUACAGGUGGCACA
ensembl:lncRNA